GGGGUUGUGGCUCAGUGGUAGAGCACUCACCGAGCAUGGGUGAGGCACUGGGUUCGAUCCCCAGCACCA
rnacentral:tRNA from 1 species